AGUGAACGCUGGCGGUAGGCCUAACACAUGCAAGUCGAACGGCAGCACAGUAAGAGCUUGCGCUUACGGGUGGCGAGUGGCGGACGGGUGAGGAAUACAUCGGAAUCUACAUUUUCGUGGGGGAUAACGUAGGGAAACUUACGCUAAUACCGCAUACGACCUACGGGUGAAAGCAGGGGAUCUUCGGACCUUGCGCGAUUGAAUGAGCCGAUGUCGGAUUAGCUAGGUGGCGGGGUAAAGGCCCCCCAAGGCGACGAUCCGUAGCUGGUCUGAGAGGAUAUUCGGCCACACAGGAACUGAGACCCGUUCCAGACUCAUACGGGGGGCGGAAGUGGGGAAUAUGGGACAGUGGGGGAAAGCCUGAUCCAGCCAUACCGCGUAGGUGAAGAAGGCCUUCGGGUUGUAAAGCCCUUUUGUUGGGAAAGAAAAGCAGCAGGUUAAUACCCCGCUGUUCUGACGUAACCCAAAGAAUAAGCACCGGCUAACUUCGU
rnacentral:rRNA from 1 species